UUGGAUCUAAAGCGGAUAAAAGUUCCAUUUAAUGUCAAAUAUUCCUUGUCGUAAAAAUUCACCUUUCCAAACAGCGUUCCAUGAUGGUGGCCAUAUUGAUUGCUAGUGGGAUUCAGGGAUACUUAGGGAUAUUGGGCUGAAUCUCCAUUAUCCACUUCGUCACGUGUGUAUUUACUUAAGAUGGCUCACUGCAGUUUUUUUGCAAAUUUUGCAAAGGGCGGAGGCACUGGGAUCACAAGGAUUUUCAACAAUUAAUGGAACAAACUUCAACCUGCAUUCGAAUGCAGCUUUUUG